AUGGCCGCGCCGACGCCUCCGCCCGCCGCCGCCCCCGCCGCGGCGCCAGGACCGACGCCGCCGGCGCAAGUGGUCGGCAACGCCUUCGUGCAGCAGUACUACAACAUCCUCCACCAGUCCCCGGAGCUCGUCUUCCGCUUCUACCAGGAGGCCAGCCGCAUCGGCCGCCCCGCCACCACCGGCGCCGACAUGGACACCGUCACCACCAUGGAGGCGAUUAACGAGAAGAUCAUGUCCAUGGACAUCGCGCGGGCGGAGAUCAGGGGGGUGGACGCGCAGGAGUCGCUAUGUGGCGGUGUGACCGUGCUCGUCACGGGCCACCUCACAGGGAAGGACGACGUCUGCCGCGAGUUCGCGCAGUCCUUCUUCCUCGCGCCGCAGGAGAAGGGUUACUUCGUGCUCAACGACAUACUACGUUAUGUCGGGCAGGGUGAGGCCGACCCGUCAUUGCCGCCACCUCAGCAGCAGCAGCCGGCACCGGAGUUGGAUGCAGUGGUUGCCCCUGCUGCCGCCCUGGCAAAUGGUACUGUUGCCCCCGUGGAGAGUGUGCCUCGCGAGCAGGAGGCUUCGCCGCAGCCAGAGCCGGAUCUCUCUGAGUCUGUUCCUCAUACCAACGAGGAGGAGGAUCCCAAGGAGGAGGUUUACAACCCACCGAAUGACACGGAGGUGCCUGUUGUGGAGGAAACACCGGUUCCUGAGGUCAUAGAUGAAGUGCCAAAUAAUGUAGCAGCCUCCAUACCGGUUUCGGCUCCCCCUGUACCACAUGAGGAGGCCCCUAAGAAGUCGUACGCUUCAAUUGUCAAAGUCAUGAAAGCAGUUCUGCCACCAAAUUCCGCAGUUCCUUACAGGCCUGCACCACCAAAACUGGAGAAGCAAGCUCCUGCUCCUGCCCCAUCUGUCGCUGUUGAUGCUCCAACUUUCAGUCCUAAUCCUGAGAGCAGCAACAUUCAAGACCCAGAAGUUGAUGCGCUUGCGGUGUAUGUAAAAAAUCUGCCCUUACAUGCCACACCUAGCCAAUUAGAAGAGGAGUUCAAAAGAUUUGGUACUAUUAAACACGAUGGUAUCCAAGUUAGAAGCCACAAGAUUCAAGGGUUCUGCUAUGGCUUCAUAGAGUUUGAGGAUGCCAGCUCAGUUCAAAGUGCACUAGCGGCUUCUCCUGUGACGAUUGAUGACCGACCAUGCCACGUCGAAGAAAAAAGAACUCCUGGUUCACGUGGUAGUAGCAGGGGAAGGUUUCCACCGGGUAGAGGUGGUAAUUUCCGAGGUGAAGGCAUGAGAGGCCGUGGUAGUUACACUGGAGGGAGAGGCUAUGCAAGGGGCGAGUACAACAACUAUCGAUCUGAUUUUGGAGGCAGAGGCGGUGGUAGAGGCGGCUCAGGUCGUGGAGGUGAUGUUGGCUACCAGCGGGUUGAUCACUCUGGCACCGGCGGGCGUGGUGGUGCCCGGGCAGCUGCAAAGUGA
rnacentral:rRNA from 1 species